rnacentral:lncRNA from 1 species
ACUUCUUAUUUUGAAUGCUAGUCAAUUCGUUCCAAGUCCGAUUCGUUCCAAGCCAGUUCGUUCCAGAUUUGGACAAUUCGUACCAAGUCAAUUGUCAAUUCGUUCCAACUGAUUUAUUUCAUUAUUAAUCAGACUUAACAAUGUGUUCCACCUGAUUAAGUUCAUUAUUAAAUCAGACUUAACAAUUUGUUCCAACUUUUUUAUAAUGUAUAUGUCCG